rnacentral:rRNA from 1 species
GACGAACGCUGGCGGCGUGCUUAACACAUGCAAGUCGAACGGAAAGGCCCUGCUUUUGUGGGGUGCUCGAGUGGCGAACGGGUGAGUAACACGUGAGUAACCUGCCCUUGACUUUGGGAUAACUUCAGGAAACUGGGGCUAAUACCGGAUAGGAGCUCCUGCUGCAUGGUGGGGGUUGGAAAGUUUCGGCGGUUGGGGAUGGACUCGCGGCUUAUCAGCUUGUUGGGGGGGUAGUGGCUUACCAAGGCUUUGACGGGUAGCCGGCCCGGGAGGGUGACCGGGGAAGUGGGAAAUGAGAAACGGAGCAGGGUCCUAGGGGAGGCAGCGGUGGGGAAUGUGGCACAAUGGGCGGAAGCAUGAUGCAGCAGCGCCGCGGGCGGGAUGACGGCCUUCGGGUUGGAAACCGCUUUAGCCUGUGACGAAGCGUGAGUGACGGUAAUGGGUAAAGAAGCACCGGCUAACUACGUG